rnacentral:rRNA from 1 species
AGUGGGGAAUAUUGGACAAUGGGGGGAACCCUGAUCCAGCCAUGCCGCGUGUGUGAAGAAGGCCUUUUGGUUGUAAAGCACUUUAAGCGAGGAGGAGGCGCUCUAGGAUAAUACCCUAGAUGCGUGGACGUUACUCGCAGAAUAAGCACCGGCUAACUCUGUGCCAGCAGCCGCGGUAAUACAGAGGGUGCGAGCGUUAAUCGGAUUUACUGGGCGUAAAGCGCGCGUAGGUGGCUAAUUAAGUCAAAUGUGAAAUCCCCGAGCUUAACUUGGGAAUUGCAUUCGAUACUGGUUAGCUAGAGUAUGGGAGAGGAUGGUAGAAUUCCAGGUGUAGCGGUGAAAUGCGUAGAGAUCUGGAGGAAUACCGAUGGCGAAGGCAGCCAUCUGGCCUAAUACUGACACUGAGGUGCGAAAGCAUGGGGAGCAAA